rnacentral:rRNA from 1 species
GUGAACGCUGGCGGUAGGCCUAACACAUGCAAGUCGAACGGCAGCACAGUAAGAGCUUGCUCUUACGGGUGGCGAGUGGCGGACGGGUGAGGAAUACAUCGGAAUCUACUUUUUCGUGGGGGAUAACGUAGGGAAACUUACGCUAAUACCGCAUACGACCUACGGGUGAAAGCAGGGGAUCUUCGGACCUUGCGCGAUUGAAUGAGCCGAUGUCGGAUUAGCUAGUUGGCGGGGUAAAGGCCCACCAAGGCGACGAUCCGUAGCUGGUCUGAGAGGAUGAUCAGCCACACUGGAACUGAGACACGGUCCAGACUCCUACGGGAGGCAGCAGUGGGGAAUAUUGGACAAUGGGCGCAAGCCUGAUCCAGCCAUACCGCGUGGGUGAAGAAGGCCUUCGGGUUGUAAAGCCCUUUUGUUGGGAAAGAAAAGCAGCAGGUUAAUACCCCGCUGUUCUGACGGUACCCAAAGAAUAAACGCCGGCUAACUUCGU